rnacentral:rRNA from 1 species
UACGAAGGGAGCUAGCGUUGUUCGGAAUCACUGGGCGUAAAGCGCACGUAGGCUGAUUUGUCAGUCGGGGGUGAAAUCCCGAGGCUCAACCUCGGAACUGCCUCCGAUACAGCAAAUCUCGAGUCCGGGAGAGGUGGGUGGAAUUCCUAGUGUAGAGGUGAAAUUCGUAGAUAUUAGGAAGAACACCAGUGGCGAAGGCGGCCCACUGGCCCGGUACUGCCGCUGUCUUGCCACUUCCUUUUUUGCUAAUAGG